UACGUAGGCAGCAAGCGUUGUUCGGAGUUACUGGGCGUAAAGGGCGUGCAGGCGGUUUGUUAAGUGCAGGGUGAAAAGCUCCCGGCUCAACUGGGAGAGGUCCUUGCAUACUGGCGAACUCGAGGGGAGGCAGAGGAAAGUGGAAUUCCCGGUGUAGUGGUGAUAUGCGUAGAUAUCGGGAGGAACACCUGUGGCGAAGGCGGCUUUCUGGGCCUUACCUGACGCUGAGACG
rnacentral:rRNA from 1 species